rnacentral:misc_RNA from 1 species
GAUGAAGAACGUAGCGAAAUGCGAUAAGUAAUGUGAAUUGCAGAAUUCAGUGAAUCAUCGAAUCUUUGAACGCACAUUGCGCCCCUUGGUAUUCCGAGGGGCAUGCCUGUUCGAGCGUCAUUAUAACCCCUCAAGCUCAGCUUGGUGUUGGGGCCUGCUGCACUGGCAGCCCUUAAAAUCAGUGGCGGCGCCAUCUGGCUCUAAGCGUAGUAAUUCUUCUCGCUAUGGAGUCCUGGUGGAUGCUUGCCAUCAACCCCCAAUUUUUCUAUGGUUGACCUCGGAUCAGGUAGGGAUACCCGCUGAACUUUAGCAUAUCAAUAAGCGGAGGA